rnacentral:lncRNA from 1 species
ACUGUUUGGUGGUCUCUUUACACAGAUGCACGUGACAUUUGGUGCCGAAGACCCAGGAUAGGAGGACUCCUUUGGGAGACCGGUCCCCUGUCCUCGCCCUCACUCCAUAAGGAGAUCCACCUACAACCUCGGGUCCUCAGACCAACCAGCCCAAGCAACAUCUCACCAAUUUCAAAUUGGACCCUGUGCACAAAAGGAAGAGUGGCUUAUCACUGGGCCUCACACACAGGUGACCUAACUGUCAGGCCUCUGAGCCCAAGCUAAGCCAUGAUAUCCCCUGUGACCUGCAGGAAUACAUGCGGAUGGCCUGAAGCAAGUGAAGAAUCACAAAAGAAGUGAAAAUUGCUGGUUCCUGCCUUAACUGAUGACAUUCCACCAUUGUGAUUUGUUCCUGCCCCACCUUAACUGAGCCAUUAAUGUUGUGAAAUUCCUUCUCCUGGCUCAGAACCUCCCUCACUGAGCACCUUGUGACCCCCACCCCUGCCUGCAAGAGAAAAACCCCCUUUGACUGUAAUUUUCCACUACCCGCCCAAAUCCUUUAAAACGGCCCCACCCCUAUCUCCCUUCGCUGACUCUUUUUUCGGACUCAGCCCGCUUGCACCCAGGUGAUUAAAAAGCUUUAUUGCUUA